rnacentral:rRNA from 1 species
GGUUAAGCGACUAAGCGUACACGGUGGAUGCCCUGGCAGUCAGAGGCGAUGAAGGACGUGCUAAUCUGCGAUAAGCGUCGGUAAGGUGAUAUGAACCGUUAUAACCGGCGAUUUCCGAAUGGGGAAACCCAGUGUGUUUCGACACACUAUCAUUAACUGAAUCCAUAGGUUAAUGAGGCGAACCGGGGGAACUGAAACAUCUAAGUACCCCGAGGAAAAGAAAUCAACCGAGAUUCCCCCAGUAGCGGCGAGCGAACGGGGAGGAGCCCAGAGCCUGAAUCAGUGUGUGUGUUAGUGGAAGCGUCUGGAAAGGCGCGCGAUACAGGGUGACAGCCCCGUACACAAAAAUGCACAUGCUGUGAGCUCGAUGAGUAGGGCGGGACACGUGGUAUCCUGUCUGAAUAUGGGGGGACCAUCCUCCAAGGCUAAAUACUCCUGACUGACCGAUAGUGAACCAGUACCGUGAGGGAAAGGCGAAAAGAACCCCGGCGAGGGGAGUGAAAAAGAACCUGAAACCGUGUACGUACAAGCAGUGGGAGCACGCUUAGGCGUGUGACUGCGUACCUUUUGUAUAAUGGGUCAGCGACUUAUAUUCUGUAGCAAGGUUAACCGAAUAGGGGAGCCGAAGGGAAACCGAGUCUUAACUGGGCGUUAAGUUGCAGGGUAUAGACCCGAAACCCGGUGAUCUAGCCAUGGGCAGGUUGAAGGUUGGGUAACACUAACUGGAGGACCGAACCGACUAAUGUUGAAAAAUUAGCGGAUGACUUGUGGCUGGGGGUGAAAGGCCAAUCAAACCGGGAGAUAGCUGGUUCUCCCCGAAAGCUAUUUAGGUAGCGCCUCGUGAAUUCAUCUCCGGGGGUAGAGCACUGUUUCGGCAAGGGGGUCAUCCCGACUUACCAACCCGAUGCAAACUGCGAAUACCGGAGAAUGUUAUCACGGGAGACACACGGCGGGUGCUAACGUCCGUCGUGAAGAGGGAAACAACCCAGACCGCCAGCUAAGGUCCCAAAGUCAUGGUUAAGUGGGAAACGAUGUGGGAAGGCCCAGACAGCCAGGAUGUUGGCUUAGAAGCAGCCAUCAUUUAAAGAAAGCGUAAUAGCUCACUGGUCGAGUCGGCCUGCGCGGAAGAUGUAACGGGGCUAAACCAUGCACCGAAGCUGCGGCAGCGACGCUUAUGCGUUGUUGGGUAGGGGAGCGUUCUGUAAGCCUGUGAAGGUGUGCUGUGAGGCAUGCUGGAGGUAUCAGAAGUGCGAAUGCUGACAUAAGUAACGAUAAAGCGGGUGAAAAGCCCGCUCGCCGGAAGACCAAGGGUUCCUGUCCAACGUUAAUCGGGGCAGGGUGAGUCGACCCCUAAGGCGAGGCCGAAAGGCGUAGUCGAUGGGAAACAGGUUAAUAUUCCUGUACUUGGUGUUACUGCGAAGGGGGGACGGAGAAGGCUAUGUUGGCCGGGCGACGGUUGUCCCGGUUUAAGCGUGUAGGCUGGUUUUCCAGGCAAAUCCGGAAAAUCAAGGCUGAGGCGUGAUGACGAGGCACUACGGUGCUGAAGCAACAAAUGCCCUGCUUCCAGGAAAAGCCUCUAAGCAUCAGGUAACAUCAAAUCGUACCCCAAACCGACACAGGUGGUCAGGUAGAGAAUACCAAGGCGCUUGAGAGAACUCGGGUGAAGGAACUAGGCAAAAUGGUGCCGUAACUUCGGGAGAAGGCACGCUGAUAUGUAGGUGAAGUCCCUCGCGGAUGGAGCUGAAAUCAGUCGAAGAUACCAGCUGGCUGCAACUGUUUAUUAAAAACACAGCACUGUGCAAACACGAAAGUGGACGUAUACGGUGUGACGCCUGCCCGGUGCCGGAAGGUUAAUUGAUGGGGUCAGCGCAAGCGAAGCUCUUGAUCGAAGCCCCGGUAAACGGCGGCCGUAACUAUAACGGUCCUAAGGUAGCGAAAUUCCUUGUCGGGUAAGUUCCGACCUGCACGAAUGGCGUAAUGAUGGCCAGGCUGUCUCCACCCGAGACUCAGUGAAAUUGAACUCGCUGUGAAGAUGCAGUGUACCCGCGGCAAGACGGAAAGACCCCGUGAACCUUUACUAUAGCUUGACACUGAACAUUGAGCCUUGAUGUGUAGGAUAGGUGGGAGGCUUAGAAGUGUGGACGCCAGUCUGCAUGGAGCCGACCUUGAAAUACCACCCUUUAAUGUUUGAUGUUCUAACGUUGACCCGUAAUCCGGGUUGCGGACAGUGUCUGGUGGGUAGUUUGACUGGGGCGGUCUCCUCCUAAAGAGUAACGGAGGAGCACGAAGGUUGGCUAAUCCUGGUCGGACAUCAGGAGGUUAGUGCAAUGGCAUAAGCCAGCUUGACUGCGAGCGUGACGGCGCGAGCAGGUGCGAAAGCAGGUCAUAGUGAUCCGGUGGUUCUGAAUGGAAGGGCCAUCGCUCAACGGAUAAAAGGUACUCCGGGGAUAACAGGCUGAUACCGCCCAAGAGUUCAUAUCGACGGCGGUGUUUGGCACCUCGAUGUCGGCUCAUCACAUCCUGGGGCUGAAGUAGGUCCCAAGGGUAUGGCUGUUCGCCAUUUAAAGUGGUACGCGAGCUGGGUUUAGAACGUCGUGAGACAGUUCGGUCCCUAUCUGCCGUGGGCGCUGGAGAACUGAGGGGGGCUGCUCCUAGUACGAGAGGACCGGAGUGGACGCAUCACUGGUGUUCGGGUUGUCAUGCCAAUGGCACUGCCCGGUAGCUAAAUGCGGAAGAGAUAAGUGCUGAAAGCAUCUAAGCACGAAACUUGCCCCGAGAUGAGUUCUCCCUGACUCCUUGAGAGUCCUGAAGGAACGUUGAAGACGACGACGUUGAUAGGCCGGGUGUGUAAGCGCAGCGAUGCGUUGAGCUAACCGGUACUAAUGAACCGUGAGGCUUAACCUU